rnacentral:lncRNA from 1 species
GGUCUGUCUGAUUGGCUUACAUUAGAAUAUGAAAAAGCAUUAAAAUAGUAAAAUGAGCAAAUAAUAUGUUUAGAAGGUAAAGAAAAGUCUACCAUCAACAAUCAUUAAUAAUUAAAGAAAUUCUAAACAUUAAAAUUAAAUUAAAUGCAGCCGAAAGGGAAUUAACAGUUUAGAAAUAGGAUCAAUAUUUGUGUCAUUCUCAACCUCUUUCUCUCCUUCAACUAUUACCUAUUUAUCUAACAUGCAGUUAGUAUAAAGUGAAAUAUGAAUUGUAUUUAACAGACAUUGAGUGGCAUUUCCAUAAAAUACAGUAACGUGGGUCUGAUGUUGUGAUCUGCGUUGCAUGCUGCUCUCUGAUUGGCUAUUUAGAGUCACAGGUGCGCCAAUUGGGUGUGGAGCCAAUGAGGGCACAGUUACACAAUAUACCGACCGAAAAUACCAACAAAAAUAAAACAUAAACAAUACAAACAUGCGAAAAAUAUAUGCACGAAGUAUUGCCCAUAUGCAUUGUUUUCCAAAAAGUUUUCCUCUUGAUUUUGCAUCGUUGAUAAACUUUUAGUUGUCAUGUCUCCUUAGGGGAUGGGCAGAUGACGUAGGGGCCGAGGGGGGUACAUAGGGAGGCUUCGUACAUUGCGUUCCAUUCACUUCACCUCUCACUCAGCAAACCUCCUGCAGCCAGUGACCACGCUUCUCCUCGACUCCAGACACUGAACCCAGCGAACAUGUUCUGCAGGCGGGCAUUGCAGCGCUUCGGACCCCUGACUCAAAGGGCAGCCAAUCCGUCACUCAGAAAUGCCGUGCCCGUGCGACACAUGGCCUUCGGCAUCCCCGGCUCGUCCAACAUGGCGUACUUUGUCAUGUGUGGAGGCGGCCUCACGGCGGCCAUGGUCUAUGCCUACAAGACAGUGAACGGAGACAGCGAGAGGUACAACGACAGACUGGCAGAGAUUGCCGCCCCAAAAGAAGCAGCUCCAGAGGCUGAGCCCACACCAGCAGCUCCAGAACCGGCAGUAGAGGCCGUCGCAGUCGAAGCUGUAGAGGCCGUCACAGUCGAGGCAGUCGAAGCUGUAGAGGCCGUCACAGUCGAGGUUGUCGCUGUAGAGGCCCUAGCCGUAGAGGCUGAACCCGCAGCAGUGGAAGAGGCGGCCAUCGAGGUGGUAGCGGAGGCUCCGGCGGCCGAGGCUGUAUCGGAGACCGCCGCCGAACCCGCCCUGGAGGUCGUCGCUGUCGAGGCCGUCGCCGUGGAGGCCGUUCCUGAAGCCGCUGUCGUCGAAGAGGUGGCGCCGGCGGAGUCGGUUGUCGAGUCCGCUGAGCCCGCGGUGGAAGAGGCCGCGCCCGCCGCCACAGAGGUGGCUGACUCGGUCGAGGUCGUCGUGGAGGAGGUGGCUGCCCCAGCGGAAGCCGCCCCGGUGGAGAGUGAGGGUACAGUGGUAGUAGAGGACAUCCCUAGCCCCGUUGAGGUCGCCCCGGAGGCCGACGCCGCCGCUACCAUCGUAGCAGCGGCCUAAAGCGCUGGCCCACCCCCAGUAGUGCUGUAGUUAGCUGUGCUGUGUUUUCCUAAACUCUCUUCCCAACAAGGUGGACUGGAGGGGAGAGUCCCAAAGGGCGAGGGGAAACUUGUAGUCACACACGCCGAAAUGCAUACCUGCUGCUGACUUUCAGUCUGGUAAAAGGGCCAUUUAAAUGCCUCACUCUUGAACAUCUUUUAAAAAGAUGGUUUCAAGUACUUUACAGAUUUUUUGUCUGUGCCUUACUAUGGGCCAAGGACGAAGGCCUACUACCCCCUGUUGUCUUUGUCGUUGUUGGGAGUUGUGAGUUUUGGUCCUUUGCAAUAGGAGUCUUAAGCCAACCCAAAUGCCAGUUCCUAGUGUUAUCUGAACUGGUUCACUGAUGGGAGGGUGUAAAACUUCGUUUCAGAUGAUAUUUCAUUGUUCAUAAAUGUGUAUUCCUGAGUCAUGUUUAACUUGCAAUUAGUUCAACAUCUGUCGGUUAUUCUGUUUGAAUAGCAAUCACCUUUUCUAGAAUGAUUCACUCCAAUUUGAAUAUGACUGUUCAUUUCAUUAAUCAUCCAGCAUCAUCACCCCUCAUUCUCAAUCUUCAUUGCAUUUUUGUACUUGGAACUUUGACAUGCCAAGUGGAUGAUGAGGAAAGAAGUUAUUCAAUAAAGAAUUGCAAAUAAUUGUGGUCUUAGUUUCAAAUUGGUUUAAUCUCCUUCUGAUCAACAAAUGCCUUCCCUUUAAAAUCCAAGUAUGAGGUUUUCAUCAACUCCUCUGAAAUCGUCAAUCUGGGAUUUGAUUUAGAUUUUUGCAAAC